rnacentral:rRNA from 1 species
GAACGAGAAAGCGGGGGCAACUCCGUGAGUAAAGUGGCGUACGGGUGAGUAACACGUAGCUAACCUACCCUCGAGUGAGGAAUAACNCUGGGGAAACUCNGGGCUAAUACCCCAUAACAUCCCGAGCGAUCGGGAGCAAAGGUCCGCAAGGGCCGCUUGAGGAGGGGGUCGCGGCUGAUUAGCUAGUUGGUAGGGUAAUGGCCUACCAAGGCGAAGAUCGGUAGCCGGCCUGAGAGGGCGCACGGCCACACUGGAACUGAAACACGGUCCAGACUCCUACGGGAGGCAGCAGUGGGGAAUUUUGCGCAAUGGGGGAAACCCUGACGCAGCAACGCCGCGUGGAGGAUGAAGUCCCUUGGGACGUANACUCCUUUCGACCGGGACGAUACUGACGGUACCGGAAGAAGAAGCACCGGCUAACUCUGUG